rnacentral:rRNA from 1 species
GGCUACGGCCGCGCCACCCUGAACAAGCCUGAUCUCGUCUGAUCUCGUGAAGCUAAGCAGGGUCGGGCCUGAUCAGUAAUUGGCAUGGGAGACCACCUAGGAAGACCAGGUGCUGUAGGCG